rnacentral:misc_RNA from 1 species
GAUGAAGAACGCAGCGAAAUGCGAUAAGUAAUGUGAAUUGCAGAAAUCAGUGAAUCAUCGAAUCUUUGAACGCACAUUGCGCCCCCUGGUAUUCCGGGGGGCAUGCCUGUCCGAGCGUCAUUACAACCCUCAAGCUCAGCUUGGUGUUGGGCCCCGCCGCCCCGGCGGGCCCUAAAGUCAGUGGCGGUGCCGUCCGGCUCCGAGCGUAGUAAUUCUUCUCGCUCUGGAGGUCCGGUCGUGUGCUCGCCAGCAACCCCCAAUUUUUUUCAGGUUGACCUCGGAUCAGGUAGGGAUACCCGCUGAACUUAAGCAUAUCAAUAAGCGGAGGA